UGGGAGCACGCUUAGGCGUGUGACUGCGUACCUUUUGUAUAAUGGGUCAGCGACUUAUAUUCUGUAGCAAGGUUAACCGAAUAGGGGAGCCGAAGGGAAACCGAGUCUUAACUGGGCGUUAAGUUGCAGGGUAUAGACCCGAAACCCGGUGAUCUAGCCAUGGGCAGGUUGAAGGUUGGGUAACACUAACUGGAGGACCGAACCGACUAAUGUUGAAAAAUUAGCGGAUGACUUGUGGCUGGGGGUGAAAGGCCAAUCAAACCGGGAGAUAGCUGGUUCUCCCCGAAAGCUAUUUAGGUAGCGCCUCGUGAAUUCAUCUCCGGGGGUAGAGCACUGUUUCGGCAAGGGGGUCAUCCCGACUUACCAACCCGAUGCAAACUGCGAAUACCGGAGAAUGUUAUCACGGGAGACACACGGCGGGUGCUAACGUCCGUCGUGAAGAGGGAAACAACCCAGACCGCCAGCUAAGGUCCCAAAGUCAUGGUUAAGUGGGAAACGAUGUGGGAAGGCCCAGACAGCCAGGAUGUUGGCUUAGAAGCAGCCAUCAUUUAAAGAAAGCGUAAUAGCUCACUGGUCGAGUCGGCCUGCGCGGAAGAUGUAACGGGGCUAAACCAUGCACCGAAGCUGCGGCAGCGACGCUGAUGCGUUGUUGGGUAGGGGAGCGUUCUGUAAGCCUGUGAAGGUGUGCUGUGAGGCAUGCUGGAGGUAUCAGAAGUGCGAAUGCUGACAUAAGUAACGAUAAAGCGGGUGAAAAGCCCGCUCGCCGGAAGACCAAGGGUUCCUGUCCAACGUUAAUCGGGGCAGGGUGAGUCGACCCCUAAGGCGAGGCCGAAAGGCGUAGUCGAUGGGAAACAGGUUAAUAUUCCUGUACUUGGUGUUACUGCGAAGGGGGGACGGAGAAGGCUAUGUUGGCCGGGCGACGGUUGUCCCGGUUUAAGCGUGUAGGCUGGUUUUCCAGGCAAAUCCGGAAAAUCAAGGCUGAGGCGUGAUGACGAGGCACUACGGUGCUGAAGCAACAAAUGCCCUGCUUCCAGGAAAAGCCUCUAAGCAUCAGGUAACAUCAAAUCGUACCCCAAACCGACACAGGUGGUCAGGUAGAGAAUACCAAGGCGCUUGAGAGAACUCGGGUGAAGGAACUAGGCAAAAUGGUGCCGUAACUUCGGGAGAAGGCACGCUGAUAUGUAGGUGAAGUCCCUCGCGGAUGGAGCUGAAAUCAGUCGAAGAUACCAGCUGGCUGCAACUGUUUAUUAAAAACACAGCACUGUGCAAACACGAAAGUGGACGUAUACGGUGUGACGCCUGCCCGGUGCCGGAAGGUUAAUUGAUGGGGUCAGCGCAAGCGAAGCUCUUGAUCGAAGCCCCGGUAAACGGCGGCCGUAACUAUAACGGUCCUAAGGUAGCGAAAUUCCUUGUCGGGUAAGUUCCGACCUGCACGAAUGGCGUAAUGAUGGCCAGGCUGUCUCCACCCGAGACUCAGUGAAAUUGAACUCGCUGUGAAGAUGCAGUGUACCCGCGGCAAGACGGAAAGACCCCGUGAACCUUUACUAUAGCUUGACACUGAACAUUGAGCCUUGAUGUGUAGGAUAGGUGGGAGGCUUUGAAGUGUGGACGCCAGUCUGCAUGGAGCCGGCCUUGAAAUACCACCCUUUAAUGUUUGAUGUUCUAACGUUGACCCGUGAUCCGGGUUGCGGACAGUGUCUGGUGGGUAGUUUGACUGGGGCGGUCUCCUCCUAAAGAGUAACGGAGGAGCACGAAGGUUGGCUAAUCCUGGUCGGACAUCAGGAGGUUAGUGCAAUGGCAUAAGCCAGCUUGACUGCGAGCGUGACGGCGCGAGCAGGUGCGAAAGCAGGUCAUAGUGAUCCGGUGGUUCUGAAUGGAAGGGCCAUCGCUCAACGGAUAAAAGGUACUCCGGGGAUAACAGGCUGAUACCGCCCAAGAGUUCAUAUCGACGGCGGUGUUUGGCACCUCGAUGUCGGCUCAUCACAUCCUGGGGCUGAAGUAGGUCCCAAGGGUAUGGCUGUUCGCCAUUUAAAGUGGUACGCGAGCUGGGUUUAGAACGUCGUGAGACAGUUCGGUCCCUAUCUGCCGUGGGCGCUGGAG
rnacentral:rRNA from 1 species